CCUGCACUGGGGGAGGAUAAGAAGAAUUCUACAAGACAACCUAAUGGCCACAGUGUUAGGUCACUCAGCUGUUCCAGGUGCGACUGAUUUCCUGUCCUCUGAUUCUCCACCAAAGCUGCACACUGGACAGAGGAGGGGGCAAAUAGGUCAAAGACCAUAAAAG
rnacentral:lncRNA from 1 species